ensembl:lncRNA
GGCUAACCUCCAACCUGAGCGUUGGAAGGGGUCUGCGUGCUCGCCGCCUGGGUGGAAUUUUAGCCUCCCUCACCGCCAGCAGCCCUCGCGGCCCGAGUCGCACCUGCUCUGUCGUCUGGUUCACAAGCAACAGGCUCUGAGGCCGGGGUCCCAGGGCGCUGAUGGCUCCUCCUCCCUACGGUGCUCCAGGCCGGCCUGCCAGUGGCCCGGUGCCUCUCGCUAAUGCGCGUUCUGCAGCCUGACAAAGCUCUGGACUUGGCAUAAAAUCCAACUAUUGGGCCAGGUCCAAGAUGUUGUAUAAAGGCGACUUCCCCUGUCUCAGUGAACACAAAUCUGAAAAAAAAUUGAAAAGCCAGGCUUCAGCAAAACGUGAACCAUGAACUUCCAGAUGUUCAACCUGGUUUUAGAAAAGGCAGAGGAACUGAAGAUCAAAUUGCCAACAUUCUCUGGAUCAUGGAAAAAGC